UUUAUGGAGAGUUUGAUCCUGGCUCAGGAUGAACGCUGGCGGCGUGCCUAAUACAUGCAAGUCGAGCGAACGGACGAGAAGCUUGCUUUUCUGAUGUUAGCGGCGGACGGGUGAGUAACACGUGGAUAACCUACCUAUAAGACUGGGAUAACUUCGGGAAACCGGAGCUAAUACCGGAUAAUAUUUUGAACCGCAUGGUUCAAAAGUGAAAGACGGUCUUGCUGUCACUUAUAGAUGGAUCCGCGCUGCAUUAGCUAGUUGGUAAGGUAACGGCUUACCAAGGCAACGAUGCAUAGCCGACCUGAGAGGGUGAUCGGCCACACUGGAACUGAGACACGGUCCAGACUCCUACGGGAGGCAGCAGUAGGGAAUCUUCCGCAAUGGGCGAAAGCCUGACGGAGCAACGCCGCGUGAGUGAUGAAGGUCUUCGGAUCGUAAAACUCUGUUAUUAGGGAAGAACAUAUGUGUAAGUAACUGUGCACAUCUUGACGGUACCUAAUCAGAAAGCCACGGCUAACUACGUGCCAGCAGCCGCGGUAAUACGUAGGUGGCAAGCGUUAUCCGGAAUUAUUGGGCGUAAAGCGCGCGUAGGCGGUUUUUUAAGUCUGAUGUGAAAGCCCACGGCUCAACCGUGGAGGGUCAUUGGAAACUGGAAAACUUGAGUGCAGAAGAGGAAAGUGGAAUUCCAUGUGUAGCGGUGAAAUGCGCAGAGAUAUGGAGGAACACCAGUGGCGAAGGCGACUUUCUGGUCUGUAACUGACGCUGAUGUGCGAAAGCGUGGGGAUCAAACAGGAUUAGAUACCCUGGUAGUCCACGCCGUAAACGAUGAGUGCUAAGUGUUAGGGGGUUUCCGCCCCUUAGUGCUGCAGCUAACGCAUUAAGCACUCCGCCUGGGGAGUACGACCGCAAGGUUGAAACUCAAAGGAAUUGACGGGGACCCGCACAAGCGGUGGAGCAUGUGGUUUAAUUCGAAGCAACGCGAAGAACCUUACCAAAUCUUGACAUCCUUUGACAACUCUAGAGAUAGAGCCUUCCCCUUCGGGGGACAAAGUGACAGGUGGUGCAUGGUUGUCGUCAGCUCGUGUCGUGAGAUGUUGGGUUAAGUCCCGCAACGAGCGCAACCCUUAAGCUUAGUUGCCAUCAUUAAGUUGGGCACUCUAAGUUGACUGCCGGUGACAAACCGGAGGAAGGUGGGGAUGACGUCAAAUCAUCAUGCCCCUUAUGAUUUGGGCUACACACGUGCUACAAUGGACAAUACAAAGGGCAGCGAAACCGCGAGGUCAAGCAAAUCCCAUAAAGUUGUUCUCAGUUCGGAUUGUAGUCUGCAACUCGACUACAUGAAGCUGGAAUCGCUAGUAAUCGUAGAUCAGCAUGCUACGGUGAAUACGUUCCCGGGUCUUGUACACACCGCCCGUCACACCACGAGAGUUUGUAACACCCGAAGCCGGUGGAGUAACCUUUUAGGAGCUAGCCGUCGAAGGUGGGACAAAUGAUUGGGGUGAAGUCGUAACAAGGUAGCCGUAUCGGAAGGUGCGGCUGGAUCACCUCCUUUCU
rnacentral:rRNA from 2 species